rnacentral:rRNA from 1 species
CGGGUGAGUAACACGUGGAUAACCUACCUAUAAGACUGGGAUAACUUCGGGAAACCGGAGCUAAUACCGGAUAAUAUAUUGAACCGCAUGGUUCAAUAGUGAAAGACGGUUUUGCUGUCACUUAUAGAUGGAUCCGCGCUGCAUUAGCUAGUUGGUAAGGUAACGGCUUACCAAGGCAACGAUGCGUAGCCGACCUGAGAGGGUGAUCGGCCACACUGGAACUGAGACACGAUCCAGACUCCUACGGGAGGCAGCAGCC